CUGAAAUUUUCGGAAGGAACUGGGCGGAGCUUGGGGCCCAGCCCCAGAGGCCAAAUGCCGAUUUUGCAUCGAGGUGUUUAGAAUUUAGAAAUUGUCAAGCUUGUUUUCGGUUGUUCGAAGGUCGAAAGUCAUUUUCUCAGAUAUGGAAACAUUUUUUUCCUGCUCUUAUCACAUUGUGAACAUUUUGAAUUUUGUGGGCAUUAUAGCUUUCUUUGUCAAGAUGUUACUUCAUACCUCCUGUUCAGCUUCCAGAGACAUCAUUUCUUUGUCCACUUGAAAAAUAAAAAAGUUGUCUUUUUUGGAUUAAAGGACAGAGUGGGAAGGUAGGUUUUUUGGACUAAGUAAAAGCUAUGGUGUCAUCAGCGAGCUAAAAGAGACAGGUGAAUCACACGCACAGCCGACACGAAAUAUAGUCCAUAAAUUCAGGCGGUUUCAUUGAUGACAAUUCAACAAACACUUGGCCUGCGCGUUCUAAGACCACUGUUUUGGCAUCACGCCUCUUCCAACAUUCUUGGUCAGGGUUGCCCGCCUACAAGACCAUUUGAAUGGUCCGUACUUGCUCAAAAAAAGGCCCCUUCCAGGCUCCACCCGCCUUUCUUUGCAUUCUCGAAGUUCCUUUUGAUUCUUUAAAUCAAGUAGCAUUCAUGUGUUGUCUUUAUGGUAUGAAACCCUGAAGUAAAAUCUAAUGUAUCAUCUUGCUAGGGGUAGGGCUAAAUUGGUAAAUUGGUUAUCAUGGUUUUAUUUGUUAAGACAACAAAGUCCUUUAUUUAAUGAUACUAUGUUUUUUUUCCUUAA